UGCAGGUUUAUCAGAUCCCAUCUCAGAUUUGUUGCAAUCACCUUGAUUUUUGGUAACUCUGCUGUCUCCACACUGGAUUUUAAAUGCAGGAGGCAACUGGGCUGUCUCAUGUGCGAAAACCUGAUGGCAUCAUCUAUGGGAAUUGUCUGCUCUCUGAGGAUACUCAACUUCUCUUGAACACAACCAAAUCAGAUCAUGCAUUGUCAUCUGAAAAGCAAACACUGAAUAUACCUUUUAAUUGGAUUGUCCAUCCUGGUUAGCAGGAGAUAAAUUCUUAUUUAAAAUAAUCAAAGAGUGGCCAACAUUCCAUGCUAUGCUGUCUCACAAGGACAAAGGUCUCCUGGGAACAUCUGGGCACAAUCCCAGACGGU